rnacentral:lncRNA from 1 species
AGGUAGAGAUUGGAGAUUAAACGGAAAUGAGUAAGAAUGAUUAAACGGUUUAAUCAUUUAUUUAUGGCAAGGAUUAAUUAAUAUGUUAAUUAAUCAAACGAAUAAGUUCGUUUAAGACUUCGGGAUAGUUUUGGACCUUAAGGCCCAAUGGGCUUCGAAUGUCAAGCCCAUUAACUUAAGUUGUAUGACAAUUUAAUGAAUAAAGAUUCAUUAAAGCCCAAAAGCCCAAAAUCCCCUAAAUGGCCGUCCAUGAUGAAAUGAAUUAGGGUUUUGGUUGUUUAGGUCACUUAAAGAAGUGACUAUAUAAAUGAUUUUAUAGCCAAAUAUUCAUUAAGGAUUAAAAGGGUUUAUUUUUGGGGAAAAUUGGUGAGAAUUGUCUCUCCAUUUCUCUCUAAAGAGGCCAACACCUUGGAGGGUACAUCUAGCAAUCCUAACAACUCCAAGGU